CCUACGGGUGGCUGCAGUGGGGAAUAUUGGACAAUGGGGGGAACCCUGAUCCAGCCAUGCCGCGUGUGUGAAGAAGGCCCUCGGGUUGUAAAGCACUUUCAGUGAGGAAGAACGCCUGGUGGUUAAUACCCAUCAGGAAAGACAUCACUCACAGAAGAAGCACCGGCUAACUCCGUGCCAGCAGCCGCGGUAAUACGGAGGGUGCGAGCGUUAAUCGGAAUUACUGGGCGUAAAGCGCGCGUAGGUGGCUUGAUAAGCCGGUUGUGAAAGCCCCGGGCUCAACCUGGGAACGGCAUCCGGAACUGUCAAGCUAGAGUGCAGGAGAGGAAGGUAGAAUUCCCGGUGUAGUGGUGAAAUGCGUAGAGAUCGGGAGGAAUACCAGUGGCGAAGGCGGCCUUCUGGACUGACACUGACACUGAGGUGCGAAAGCGUGGGUAGCAAACAGGAUUAGAUACCCGAGUAGUC
rnacentral:rRNA from 1 species